GACGAACGCUGGCGGCGUGCUUAACACAUGCAAGUCGAACGGAAAGGCCCUGCUUUUGUGGGGUGCUCGAGUGGCGAACGGGUGAGUAACACGUGAGUAACCUGCCCUUGACUUUGGGAUAACUUCAGGAAACUGGGGCUAAUACCGGAUAGGAGCUCCUGCUGCAUGGUGGGGGUUGGAAAGUUUCGGCGGUUGGGGAUGGACUCGCGGCUUAUCAGCUUGUUGGUGAGGUAGUGGCUUACCAAGGCUUUGACGGGUAGCCGGCCUGAGAGGGUGACCGGCCACAUUGGGACUGAGAUACGGCCCAGACUCCUACGGGAGGCAGCAGUGGGGAAUAUUGCACAAUGGGCGGAAGCCUGAUGCAGGAACGCCGCGUGCGGGAUGACGGCCUUCGGGUUGUAAACCGCUUUCGCCUGUGACGAAGCGUGAGUGACGGUAAUGGGUAAAGAAGCACCGGCUAACUACGUG
rnacentral:rRNA from 1 species